UUCCAGCUCCAAUAGCGUAUAUUAAUGUUGUUGCAGUUAAAAAGCUCGUAGUUGGAUAUCUGGUCGGGACGUCUGGCCGGCUCCGCAAGGGGUCGUUGCAUUGACUGUACCUCGUCCAUCCUCAGGUUGACUAGCUCUGGUAUUUAUUUAUCGGUGUUAGAACGCCUGUCGUUUACUGUGAACAAAUUAGAGUGUUCAAAGCAAGGUGUACUUGAAUACAUUAGCAUGGAAUAAUAAGAUAGGACUUUGGUGGUUCUUUUUGAUAUUUUGUUGGUUUGCACGCCAAAGUAAUGAUUAAUAGGAGCAGUUGGGGGUAUUCGUAUUCAAUUGUCAGAGGUGAAAUUCUUGGAUUUAUAGAAGACGAACUACUGCGAAAGCAUUUACCAAGGAUGUUUUCAUUA
rnacentral:rRNA from 1 species